AACGAACGCUGGCGGCAGGCUUAACACAUGCAAGUCGAGCGCCCCGCAAGGGGAGCGGCAGACGGGUGAGUAACGCGUGGGAAUCUACCCAUCUCUACGGAAUAACGCAUGGAGACGUGUGCUAAUACCGUAUACGUCCUUCGGGCGAAAGAUUUAUCGGAGAUGGAUGAGCCCGCGUUGGAUUAGCUAGUUGGUGGGGUAAAGGCCUACCAAGGCGACGAUCCAUAGCUGGUCUGAGAGGAUGAUCAGCCACGCUGGGAGUGAGACACGGCCCAGACUCCUACGGGAGGCAGCAGUGGGGAAUAUUGGACAAUGGGCGCAAGCCUGUUCCAGCCAUGCCGCGUGAGUGAUGAAGGCCCUAGGGUUGUAAAGCUCUUUCACCGGUGAAGAUAAUGACGGUAACCGGAGAAGAAGCCCCGGCUAACAUCGUGCCAGCCGCCGCCGUAACAC
rnacentral:rRNA from 1 species